rnacentral:lncRNA from 1 species
AGCAGCCGAGUUCGCGCCGCCGGUAGGUGCUGCCAUGCCAGGGGGCGGGAUCGUGGAGCGCCUCGCAGAACCGCACGAAAGCAAAAACAAAGCCAUCUCUCCGGAGCAGAAAUAGAACAGACGUGGCCGGGGAAAGCCAAAUAUUUCCUGCCGUCCUGGUGAACACAAUCGAGCAAGGCAGUGAAGCAAACAUCAUUAGGUGGCUGGACUCAGACACAUCACGCUCCAGUUUGGGUUCCAAGGUGCUUCUCUCUGGAUUUUCACCUGCCUUGCCAAAAAUGAUUGAUUACGCUGGGCCAACUGGGUGUCCGGCAAUACCCAACAAAUGACUUUGGCCCCUAACAGCAGGUCUUGGCCAGACAGAAAUCAAUAUUUCACCAUUAAAAUCUAUCAAAGAAGAGUUAAGGCACCAUCUGUCCCUGCCGCCUCUCUAUGGUGUGUGAACAUUAAAUCCGACACUUGUACUACAUGGGUAAUCAAUAUAUAGUGGUUCACAGAUCAUUUGUGGUUCCCUUUUAGCAGUGAUGGAUGUCUGGAAUCGUUGUGAUUCAUUUUGUCAGACCAUUAAACAAGAUUCUGUCCAGUUC